GGUAGAAGUGGCCCCACUCACCACUACCCCUAGUGACCUAACAGCAGAAUGUUUGCUUCCUGUUCCCAUGACAUUAUGUUCUGCUGGCCUAGAGCUCUUAGUUCCUGAGGGAGGAGUGCUGCCACCAAGACACAACGAUUCCAUUGAAAUGAAAUUUAAGACUGUCACCUGGUCACUUUUAACACCUCAUGCCUCUAAGUCAAAAGGUUAAGAAAGGGGUUACAGUGUUGGCUGUGGUGACUGACCCAGACUAUCAAAAUCAGACUACUACUGCACAGUGGAGGUGGUAUUACAAGCGGAAUCUGAAGUAGAGCUUCCAGUGACCCCCAGGAGGAUCGUGUGGCCAAGCAAGGUACCUGAUGAGCCCACUGUGUCCGCUGCUGUCUCACAACAACUAGGGAAGGUGUUCAUCCGGGAUCCCAUUCUCCUCUGGGGAAGGGUCUCUGAUCCCCUCUUAUGAGGAGACACGUUCCGCUGCCUCACUGCAGUGGCCUUGGGGGUAAGGAAUCAAGACCCACCGAGUUUGACUAAUAAACCCAGACUCUCAGCAAUGUGGGAUGAAAAGGCCUACAGAUACCACAGUAACCAGGACUCAAGGUCUCUUACCACAGACUCCACCCCUAGAAUUUCCAGUUCACCAGCGCCAACCCAGAGAUCACGUCCUUGUUAAAAGCUGGAAAGAGGGAAUGCUUGAGUCCACCUGGGAAGGACCUUACCUUGUGCUCCUCACAACUGAGACAGCAGUCCAAACUGCUGAAAAGGGGUGGACCCAUCAUACGCGAGUCAAAAAGGCAUCGCCCUCUCCAAAGCCAUGGACCAUUUCCCAGGGCCAACUCCCACCAGAGUAAUGUUAAAAAGAAAAGUUUAA